GCCGGUUUAGCUCAGUUGGUAGAGCACCCGCCUUGUAAGCGGUAGGUCGCGAGUUCGAGUCCCGCAACCGGCA
rnacentral:tRNA from 1 species